CCCAGCUCUUCAUGAAGCUCCCUCCUGGCAGAUACAAGUGAGGAAUCACCAGCAGAAAUAUGGCCAGCACUGGAGAUAUCCCAAAGCCCUGGCCAUGAAUCCUUACAGUCAAGCUCGGCGUUGGAGAAGAAGCUCCUGCGUAGUCUCAGCAAAAAUCCAAACGUGAACAGCUCGGUGAUAAUCUCCAUCUCGAUGAACCUCUCCCCNNNNNNNUGGGCUUGGAAAUGCCAGUUUUUUUACCGGUUUCAGUGAGAACGUCGAGGCGCUCUUCAGUCUCUGCCAUUUCUUCUCUUCUUCUUCUUCUUAUUCUUCUUCUAUGCUAUUGCUUAUGCUUAUUGUUUGGUUUGAAGACUAUUAACCCAGCUUGCAUCCACUUUCGUCCCUGUGCCGAAUAUAUAUAAAUACUUUCCUUCGCGUUUGAGCGAGGCAGGUAAUGGAAUCUAACGCAGACAACGCAAUCAUUCAAAGAAUUCUUUAGGUGCUAUCAUGGAAUAUAAUUUCAAUUUCAACCACCACUCCGUUUGGGAAAUCUUUU
rnacentral:misc_RNA from 1 species